rnacentral:rRNA from 1 species
AUUGAACGCUGGCGGCAGGCCUAACACAUGCAAGUCGAGCGGAGCGGCGGAAGGGUGAGUAAUGCCUAGGAAUCUGCCUGGUAGUGGGGGAUAACGUCCGGAAACGGGCGCUAAUACCGCAUACUAUCAGAUGAGCCUAGGUCGGAUUAGCUAGUUGGUGGGGUAAAGGCCUACCAAGGCGACGAUCCGUAACUGGUCUGAGAGGAUGAUCAGUCACACUGGAACUGAGACACGGUCCAGACUCCGAAGGGAGGCAGCAGUGGGGAAUAGUGGACAAUGGGCGAAAGCCUGAUCUAGCCAUGCCGCGUGUGUUAAGAAGGUCUUCGGAUUGUAAAGCACUUUCAGUUGGGAGGCGUUAGCACAAGAAUAAGCACCGGAUAACUGCGUGCCAGCAGCCGCGGUAAUAC